UACGUAGGGGGCAAGCGUUGUCCGGAAUCAUUGGGCGUAAAGAGCGUGUAGGCGGCCCGGUAAGUCCGCUGUGAAAGUCCAGGGCUCAACCCUGGGAUGCCGGUGGAUACUGUCGGGCUCGAGUCCGGAAGAGGAGUGUGGAAUUCCUGGUGUAGCGGUGAAAUGCGCAGAUAUCAGGAGGAACACCAAGGGCGAAGGCAGCACUCUGGGACGUGACUGACGCUGAGGCACGAAAGCUAGGGGAGCAAACAGG
rnacentral:rRNA from 1 species